UACGUAGGGUGCAAGCGUUGUCCGGAUUUAUUGGGCGUAAAGAGCUCGUAGGCGGUCUGUCGCGUCGAAUGUGAAAGCCCAGGGCUCAACCCUGGGUCUGCAUUCGAUACGGGCAGACUAGAGUAUGGCAGGGGAGACUGGAAUUCCUGGUGUAGCGGUGAAAUGCGCAGAUAUCAGGAGGAACACCGGUGGCGAAGGCGGGUCUCUGGGCCUUACCUGACGCUGAGGAGCGAAAGCGUGGGUAGCGAACAGG
rnacentral:rRNA from 1 species